rnacentral:rRNA from 1 species
GACAGAGGUGCCGAGCGUUAGGCGGAAUCACUGGGCUUAAAGCGUGUGUAGGCGGGCCGUUAAGUAUCUUGUGAAAUCCCCCGGCUCAACCGGGGAAUGGCUGGAUAUACUGGCGGUCUUGAGCAGUUCAGGGGCAGAUGGAACAGACGGUGGAGCGGUGAAAUGCGUAGAGAUCGGGAGGAACACCAGAGGCGAAGGCGGCGACCUGGACAGUUACUGACACUCAACUACGAAAGCGUGGGGAGCAAACAGG